AUUGUUACAGGACUCGUACGCUGCUCACAACCAGUGUUCAGCCCGACAAUACCUUUUCAUCUGAGAAACCACAAUGUUCGGCUCAGAGUCCUCAAUGUGGAAAUAAUUGAGAGGGAGAGCCACAAUCCUAAGACUGAUUCCCUUGAUAACUCCAUGUGGGGCCUGCAGACCAGACCAGAUACUCAUUUACAUAGACUGUUCUACGUACUGCUACCCCUUCUGCCAUAGCUCUUUUGUGGAUACAGAGUCCUGUUUCCAGGGCUGUCCAUCUCCAACUGCACCAGAUUCAUGAAGGGUGAGAACACUUCCAGGCAACCUAAGGAGAAUAUUGCUGUGAAUGUACAUUGCACCUGAAGUGACCGUGCCUAUCUGCGACCCUGCAAGCCUGAAAACUUCCUAGUCAGUCUAAUAAAAGCAACACUGCCAAGCUGUUCCGUCCUCUGGGGACCGGACUGGGACCAACCACAUCAUUCCACACAAGACACCAGCCAGCCAUCAGAUUGCGACAGUACCGUGGCUCCCAAUCUGCACUGGGUUUAUUCAGACAACAAAGGUUUCCAUAAGGUUGCCCAUCACCGUGGUCUCUGAGCAUCUGCUGGGAACAAUCCUGCAUUGGGAAGAGAAUGUACAAGCCAAUCUAACUCUGAUCUCCAAGAGCUUGACAAAGGAGUCCCUGCCAUACUCCCCAUGUUAUGGUGGUGAAGUGACUUGCUCAAGGUCACUCAGGAGCCCAGUGGCAGAGCUGGGAGUCCUAGUCCAGUUCUCCAGCCACCAGGCCACAUAACCAAAUACCACGCUGCACGUGCUGAGCCUGCAAUCAGGCCGGAAGGCAGAAAUCAUAGUGAAGAAAAGUCAAAGAAGCCACUGAGAAUGAACAAGGUUAUAAAAUUAACUUCUCCUUUGGGCUGCACUUGAGAACUCACAUUAU